GGCCUUGUAGCUCAGUUGGCUAGAGCGUUGGCUGUAAUUAAGCCUUCCAUUUGCCGGCGUGGGUUCAAAUCCCACCAAGGCCG
rnacentral:tRNA from 1 species